AAACAUGAAUUAGGCAGGUAUUUCCAUUUCCUUUUCUUCCAUUAUUAUUCCCUGUUUAUAUUAACAAGUUAAAGUAAUUUAUUACGUAUUGAAAAAAAACAUAUAUACUAAUCCCCUCUUGCUUUUGUUUGUUUGUUGUUUUACUUCCAUGCAUGUAGAAUUAUUUCUCCUUGGGGACGUCCCCAGAUACCGUGAAGCGCUUCAAAUUAAAACGUUUUCUCAGUAUUCGGUCUUCAACUAUUUCGUGUUUUUUGGUGUACCAAGACUGCCCUGUAUGGUUGAUGUACCUCAGUUUUUAAGAUCUUUUGGAAAGACAUGCAACAUUGCCUUAUGUUAUGCUGAGAAUGGGGCAGAGAAGUGGUAGGUUGCUAUAUGUAUGUAAUUGAUGUGUAUUUGCCAUGGCCAACCCACAGCUUUCCAUCAAUGGGGCAAGUUUCUACCCAAUUACCUCCUCUGCUCUCACGCAAACCAAGUCCUUUCUCUCAGGUUCUUUUGUUUUUUCGACUGCUUACUAAUCAUAUGUUAGUUUCUUUGGCACAGCAAGAAAACAAUUGAAUUGAAGAAGGAAGACCAUUGUUAUGAAGAAAGAAGACAACUGUUAUAAAGAAGAAUACAACUAGAAUGAAGAAAGAACACAUCCUGAAUGAAGAAAGAAGAUAGCUGGAAGGAAAAAGAAGACAGAAAAAAAACUGGAUUGAGAGAGAAGACAAGUGGAAGAUGUUAGAAGAAAAAAAAGAAGAUAACCAGAAGAAAAAAGGAAACAGAAAGAAAGAAGAUGACAGCUGAGAGAAAGAAGAAGACAACAGAGAGAAAGAAGAAGACAACAGAGAAAGAAGAAAAUGAUUGGAAGAAAGAAGCAACUCGCAGGCAAUGGGAGCAUUAUAGUCUUACCAAAUGUUGUAAAGGGGAUUAAAAAUUCAGAUACAUCAUUAAAAGAAUGGAACUUAGGUGACUUAACAUCAAGAACAAAUGGAUCCAUAAGCUAACAGAGCCUACAGAAGUUGGGUUUUUAAAGAACUGUUUGGGGCCAGGUUUUUAAUUUCCAUUUUCUAAGACUAGCUAACAUGAUUGCAAAACAGUAAGAUCUUAUGUUUUAUUUCCUUUCUAUACAAAUUAAAAUUUUCUGCAUUUGAUUUAUAGUAAUUAACAUUAAUUUUCUCCUGCUCACCAGUUUUUUAGUUUCUAUUUGAUAGCAAAAGCAUAAUGAGUGAUUCUGUGGACAAUCCUCUCUUGGGAUGUCAACAGAGUGUACGAGAAGUUGACAGUCAGCUAAUGUAUAGAUCCACAGCCAGAGACAGCAAUGUUAAUUUGUGUCUUAAAACAAUAGGAAGAAGAUGCUUGAAGCCCGGAGACUAUCCAAUUACUCCAUCUGAAGACGGUUUACUCUGUCUGAAGAGGAUGACAAGUUUGCUGCACCCAGUGGAACAUUGAUGGACCUACCAACGGAUAUUCAGACAUAUUUUGCUCUGAGCAGAUGGUACCUUGAUGGACCCAGAUGGAACCUUGAUGGGCCUAGAUGGAACCUUGAUGGACCCAGACGGAAACUUGAUGAACCCAGAUGGAACCUUGAUGAACCCAAAUGAAGCCUUAAUGGACCCAGAUGGAGCCUUGAUGGACCCAGACAGAGCCUUGAUGGACCCAGACGGAGCCUUGAUGGACCCAGAAGGAGCCUUGAUGUACCCAGACGGAGCCUUGAUGGACCCAGAUGGAUCCUUUAUGGAUCCGGACGGAACCUUGAUGGACCCAGAUGGAACCUUGAUGGACCUACCAACACAUAUUCAAGAGAGUGUUUGCUCAGACCAGAGCCCCCAGAGGCCAGAUGCAACCAUGGCAAAUUAAAUUGAUUUGGUGGACAACCAAUGAGCAACAAUGAAUAAGAUGAUCUUAAAAAGUAAAGAAUGACAGUUAGCCUAAUCAGGAACAGUGAGCCUCCCCCUUUUCCUCUCCCAUUCAUGGAAGUAGGAUGGCAAUCGAUGCAAAGAACCAGGAAAAAUCCAAUCUUAUUGUGCAUGCAGAAUAUGGAGGAAGAAGAUGCUUGAUGCCUGAUGACCAAUGUA